GGAUAACACUUAGAAAUAGGUGCUAAUACCGCAUAAGCGCACAGCUUCGCAUGAAGUGGUGUGAAAAACUCUGGUGGUAUACGAUGGUUCCGCGUCUGAUUAGCUUGUUGGUGGGGUAAUGGCUCACCAAGGCGACGAUCAGUAGCCGGCCUGAGAGGGUGAACGGCCACAUUGGGACUGAGACACGGCCCAAACUCCUACGGGAGGCAGCAGUGGGGAAUAUUGCACAAUGGGGGAAACCCUGAUGCAGCGACACCGCGUGAGUGAAGAAGUAUUUCGGUAUGUAAAGCUCUAUCAGCAGGGAAGAAAAUGACGGUACCUGAUUAAGAAGCCCCGGCUAACUACGUGCCAGCAGCCGCGGUAAUACGUAGGGGGCAAGCGUUAUCCGGAUUUACUGGGUGUAAAGGGAGCGUAGACGGCAGCGCAAGUCUGAAGUGAAAUGCCGGGGCUUAACCCCGGAACUGCUUUGGAAACUGUGCAGCUAGAGCGCAGGAGAGGUAAGUGGAAUUCCUAGUGUAGCGGUGAAAUGCGUAGAUAUUAGGAGGAACACCAGUGGCGAAGGCGGCUUGCUGGACUGUAACUGACGUUGAGGCUCGAAAGCGUGGGGAGCAAACAGGAUUAGAUACCCUGGUAGUCCACGCUGUAAACGAUGAUUACUAGGUGUUGGGGGACCAAGGUCCUUCGGU
rnacentral:rRNA from 1 species